rnacentral:lncRNA from 1 species
AAAGACGCACACUGAGGCACGUUAUUUGUUUUCACCCUUUUAGCCUUUCUAGCCAUCCACAAUGUUGUAUUUAUCCGUUGUUAACCCUGUUGAGCUUGUACCCCAUUGUUUGUGUAAACCGUCAUGUUAACCAUAAGACAAACACUUCCUACCCUCGCUCGACAUGACUGUUGUAGUGUAAAAUUUGUGCAAAAAGAUAAGUUUGGGGUUGUGAUCCUUAGAAGUAAUUUUGGAAAAGGGGCAAGUGCAAAAAAAAAACUGUGUAGAAACAUCCGCUUCUAUCGAAAGAAAAAAAAAGAAAAGAAAUAAAAAAUAGAAAUGAAGUAUAAGCACUUGCCUAGGUCAUAGACUCGUGCAUUAAUGUGAUACUCAAAAGAAAAAAAAUUGAGUGAAAAGGAGUCAAGAUUGGAUAACACCCCAUAAAAUUAUUCGUGCACAAAGAAAAACAACAACAUGAAUGCCGAGUUCUAAAACCUUCUGUCAUCCAUUUUCUUGUCUACUCCCCCGCCGUACCUAAGCCCCGUUACAACCCGGAAGACCUCUUAAAGUGUGUGAAUUUUGUUUGUGUAGUUAACGUAGAAUC